rnacentral:rRNA from 1 species
GACAGAGGAUGCAAGCGUUAUCCGGAAUGAUUGGGCGUAAAGCGUCUGUAGGUGGCUUUUCAAGUCCGCCGUCAAAUCCCAGGGCUCAACCCUGGACAGGCGGUGGAAACUACCAAGCUGGAGUACGGUAGGGGCAGAGGGAAUUUCCGGUGGAGCGGUGAAAUGCAUUGAGAUCGGAAAGAACGCCGGUGGCGAAAGCGACGUGCUGGACCUCUUCUGACGCUGAGGCGCGAAAGCCAGGGGAGCAAACGGG